rnacentral:rRNA from 2 species
GGGUUGUGAGGUUAAGCGACUAAGCGUACACGGUGGAUGCCCUGGCAGUCAGAGGCGAUGAAGGGCGUGCUAAUCUGCGAUAAGCGCCGGUAAGGUGAUAUGAACCGUUAUAACCGGCGAUACCCGAAUGGGGAAACCCAGUGUGACUCGUCACACUAUCAUUAACUGAAUCCAUAGGUUAAUGAGGCGAACCGGGGGAACUGAAACAUCUAAGUACCCCGAGGAAAAGAAAUCAACCGAGAUUCCCCCAGUAGCGGCGAGCGAACGGGGAGGAGCCCAGAGCCUGAAUCAGCAUGUGUGUUAGUGGAAGCGUCUGGAAAGGCGCGCGAUACAGGGUGACAGCCCCGUACACAAAAGCGCAUGUGCUGUGAGCUCGAUGAGUAGGGCGGGACACGUGGUAUCCUGUCUGAAUAUGGGGGGACCAUCCUCCAAGGCUAAAUACUCCUGACUGACCGAUAGUGAACCAGUACCGUGAGGGAAAGGCGAAAAGAACCCCGGCGAGGGGAGUGAAAAAGAACCUGAAACCGUGUACGUACAAGCAGUGGGAGCCCCACCACCAAAGCAUUUGCUGUACCGCGUUGACGGAGCGAAGCGACGUCAAACCGAUAAAACAGCAGUGUAAAGUGAGCCGCAGGGCGCUUUGCGCGACAGCGCAAAGGCAGGCGGUUUCGCGUAGCGAAAGCGAAUGCUUUGGGGUGGGGUGACUGCGUACCUUUUGUAUAAUGGGUCAGCGACUUAUAUUCUGUAGCAAGGUUAACCGAAUAGGGGAGCCGGAGGGAAACCGAGUCUUAAUUGGGCGUUAAGUUGCAGGGUAUAGACCCGAAACCCGGUGAUCUAGCCAUGGGCAGGUUGAAGGUUGGGUAACACUAACUGGAGGACCGAACCGACUAAUGUUGAAAAAUUAGCGGAUGACCUGUGGCUGGGGGUGAAAGGCCAAUCAAACCGGGAGAUAGCUGGUUCUCCCCGAAAGCUAUUUAGGUAGCGCCUCGUGAAUUCAUCUCCGGGGGUAGAGCACUGUUUCGGCUAGGGGGCCAUCCCGGCUUACCAACCCGAUGCAAACUGCGAAUACCGGAGAAUGUUAUCACGGGAGACACACGGCGGGUGCUAACGUCCGUCGUGAAGAGGGAAACAACCCAGACCGCCAGCUAAGGUCCCAAAGUCAUGGUUAAGUGGGAAACGAUGUGGGAAGGCCCAGACAGCCAGGAUGUUGGCUUAGAAGCAGCCAUCAUUUAAAGAAAGCGUAAUAGCUCACUGGUCGAGUCGGCCUGCGCGGAAGAUGUAACGGGGCUAAACCAUGCACCGAAGCUGCGGCAGCGACACUGUGUGUUGUUGGGUAGGGGAGCGUUCUGUAAGCCUGUGAAGGUGUGUCGUGAGGCAUGCUGGAGGUAUCAGAAGUGCGAAUGCUGACAUAAGUAACGAUAAAGCGGGUGAAAAGCCCGCUCGCCGGAAGACCAAGGGUUCCUGUCCAACGUUAAUCGGGGCAGGGUGAGUCGACCCCUAAGGCGAGGCCGAAAGGCGUAGUCGAUGGGAAACGGGUUAAUAUUCCCGUACUUGGUGUUACUGCGAAGGGGGGACGGAGAAGGCUAUGUUGGCCGGGCGACGGUUGUCCCGGUUUAAGCGUGUAGGUGUGUGUUCCAGGUAAAUCCGGUUCACUUUAACACUGAGGCGUGACGACGAGGCACUACGGUGCUGAAGCAACAAAUGCCCUGCUUCCAGGAAAAGCCUCUAAGCAUCAGGUAACAUCAAAUCGUACCCCAAACCGACACAGGUGGUCAGGUAGAGAAUACCAAGGCGCUUGAGAGAACUCGGGUGAAGGAACUAGGCAAAAUGGUGCCGUAACUUCGGGAGAAGGCACGCUGACACGUAGGUGAAGUGAUUUACUCAUGGAGCUGAAGUCAGUCGAAGAUACCAGCUGGCUGCAACUGUUUAUUAAAAACACAGCACUGUGCAAACACGAAAGUGGACGUAUACGGUGUGACGCCUGCCCGGUGCCGGAAGGUUAAUUGAUGGGGUCAGCGCAAGCGAAGCUCCUGAUCGAAGCCCCGGUAAACGGCGGCCGUAACUAUAACGGUCCUAAGGUAGCGAAAUUCCUUGUCGGGUAAGUUCCGACCUGCACGAAUGGCGUAAUGAUGGCCAGGCUGUCUCCACCCGAGACUCAGUGAAAUUGAACUCGCUGUGAAGAUGCAGUGUACCCGCGGCAAGACGGAAAGACCCCGUGAACCUUUACUAUAGCUUGACACUGAACAUUGAGCCUUGAUGUGUAGGAUAGGUGGGAGGCUUUGAAGUGUGGACGCCAGUCUGCAUGGAGCCGACCUUGAAAUACCACCCUUUAAUGUUUGAUGUUCUAACGUGGACCCGUUACCCGGGUUGCGGACAGUGUCUGGUGGGUAGUUUGACUGGGGCGGUCUCCUCC